CCCCUUUUCUUUUCUUAAUUUCUCCUCCUAUCCAAUUUUCUAAAUUUAUACCAUGUGAUGAAUGGGAUAUGUAUAUAUACAUAAUGGGUCCGCUUCUAAGAUAUGGGAAGUACUGUGGUCUUCUGUAUGGCGGCUGUCCCGGGGAGAAGCCCUGCGAUGCCCUUGACGCCUGUUGUAUGAACCAUGAUUCCUGCAUUCUUUCUCACAACAGUAAGUCAAGUCUCAUAAUUCGCAUUUCACCUACUUUAAUUUUCAGAUUACUAAUAGUAUUUGUAUAUUCUAUUGUGCAUACAGAUGACUAUCUAAGCCAAGAGUGCAGUCAGGACUUACUCAACUGCAUGGCCAACUUCAAGAGAAGCGGAGGCAAAUCAUUCGAGGGAAAUACCUGCCAAGUGGAUGAUGUUAUUCAAGUCAUCACCGUCGCCAUGGAUGCUGCUUUGCUUGCUUGAAGACUCCUUCAUAAAUCUUAAUUCAUCAUUACUCCACUUAAUAACGCAUUAUGCUUGGAUAUCAUGCUUUUACUUUCAAAUACACAGAUAGACACACUAGUAAAGAAGGGGAAAAAUGAUUCUUCCUUUAAUUUGUGGAAUAAUCCCCCGAAUUAUUAAUGGGAAUUACAUAAUACUCAUAGGAACUUCCUGUAGGGCCUCCCUGCAUCCUGAUCUUGCAUAUGCUGUCAAAAAAUCAAGUUCAAACAAAGUUGAACAGAAUAUAAACACAUGAAAUCAUCAAUCACCAUUUCUCUACUUGAAAAAAAAAGAAAGAAAAUAAAUGGUACUAUUAACAUGGGCAAUCCCCCNNNNNNNNNNNNNNNNNNNNNNNNNNNNNNNNNNNNNNNNNNNNNNNNNNNNNNNNNNNNNNNNNNNNNNNNNNNNNNNNNNNNNNNNNNNNNNNNNNNNAGAUUGAAUCUCUCAACCUUGCACUUGCAAGGUGAGAUCAUUUUAUUGAACCCAAAGUUUGUUGGUUCUCUACUUGAAAAUUGAACAUAGAUAACUCAUGCUAUGUGUCUAGCAAAACUGGGUGCAUUAUUAGCAGUAGGAUUUUAAGUAGAAAUUACAUGACAAAAACAUGAUUGAAACCUUGACUUUUGCCACAAAUACAUGCAGGAAAUAGCAUCACUAAUUUUGAGACAAAUUAGAGCAGGUAUGCCAUGAACAAAUUUGCAUUUUCAGCAAAAAAAAUUAUGCUACAUAACAAUCAAACCCACAAUGAAGAAUUCAUACAAUCAUAGUUUAAUAAGAAAUUCAAGAUUUAACAUCACGAGUAUUCCUAUUUUUAAAUUGGCCAAAUCAUGAUAAAAAAAUUAGUUAUUACAACACCAAAAUCAUAUAGGUUCCUACUUCCUACUACGUUUUCAACAUGGCACUACCCUCAGACACUGUUACCAAAACAGACAUUGCCAUAUGCUUACAGUGAUGUUUCUCACAUUAGAAGCUCUAAAACCACAAGUGUCAAUGGACCGAAUGAACUUCGAUCAAAGCCAAAAGUUUUUAAAGAUAUUCUUUACAAUAGAAUUUUGCAAUUCAAUUAAGGUCAAGUGCCAUGAGUAUUGGGUACUUAAGUAAAUCCAGAGGAGAAAGAAAAGAAAAAAGUUUCGAUGAUUUAGUCUAAAUAGCAUCUUUAUGCUCUAAAACAAAGCCAUAACUGGAGCUUGGAGCAACUAGGCGGCCAUGUGCCCGAGUGUAACCACAAGACAAAUACUUUUGCGAGUUCGGCUAUAACUGGACAAAUAAUCAAAUAUAAGCCCAUUAUUACUCCGAAGAGUCACAAACCAAAUUGAAAAAUAACCCAUUAAAACUAGACACGUAAGCCUAUCCCAGAUAUAAGCCCAAAAGAUCACUUCACAUAGGGGGGGCACAACAUUACAAGGCACCGGAGGUUUCAAGUCAAUACCUAGAGGCAAUUGUACUUGAACAAAAGUAGAAGGAUGUUAGUUAAAUCAUAAAGUCCACCGGUAGUUUCGUAUUUAUCAAAAGCUACGGAGUGUUUUGCAGUCCGUAGUAUAAAACUACAGACAUUCUCAAUUUCGAUUAAAACCAAAUACACCUGUUCAAGUAGAUGUAAUGCCAUCGACCAUCUCAGAGUAAAACAAGAAUAAAAAGACAAGCAUACUUUAUAGAUAAACAUGCAAUAACCUAAAAAUAUCUAGCUAAACAACCCGAUGCCUUCCAAGUGCUGGCCUUUAUAGUUAAUUUCAAAUUGCCUAUAUCAAUUUGCUAAAGAACUCCAUUUUUCCUUAGAAGUAAAACAGAGCAUGUUUGACAAAUCAGGCAGAGCAUCAUGAACAACAAUUCAUAAUUACAGUGUCUACAGGAGCAUAAAAUUAUGGAUUCCAAAAAUAUAAUUUGACUACAAAUGUCGAAGCAUUACGUUAAGCAAAUAUAAUAAUACAUUAUAAGCCUUUUGGGGACAUAAUAUGAACAUCUAUGUAAAAUACUACAAUUGCCCGAGGAAUGAAAACUGUUAUUUUAUCUAAUGCAACCAACUUAUUCUUUAAUUUCUUAAACUAAAGUUAUGUUAGGAUAUGCAGACCUCAUCAAUCAUCACCAGUGUAUGUGUGUAUACACACACCCACAAGCAAUCGAAAACUAAUAAAGAACAUCAAGCUAAUACACCCCCUUGUGAGAACAAUCAACUGAAUCAAGCAGACAAUGCCUAAGUGGACACAAUGAUAAGGAUACUCAAAUCUCUAAACUCAGUGAAAAAUACCAGCAAGAAGACUUAUGCCACCAAGUCAUCACAUAACCUUAGAUUGGUGUAUUACAAUGUACUUAACAGUUUAGGCAUACAUACUUGAUACUAGCACAACUGAGUUUAGACAACAAUACAUUAUAAAUGGAAAACAUAAGAAUAUUGUAUUGAAUGUUUAAGGUUGUAGCUACGUCUAAAACUGGAUUUAAAAUAAACAAAGUUGACAACAAAAUAACAACAUAUACUCCAAAUGUCCUUCCAAAAUGCUCUGACUUCUAUGUUUAGAGUACUAUAAAAUAUAAUUUUUCGUAUAAAAGAUUCAACUUUUUAGCAAAGGGCAGCAAUCCAUUAGUUAACAUCGCUAGUAAUUAGUAAAGUAAAAUUAGAACAGUUAAUAUUAGUUCAACAUACCACAUAGAAUGUCAGUGAGCACCAACAAGUAAGAAGGCCUCCGGGAGAUGAUCCAUCCCGCUCAACUUCCAAAGCUUAACUCCACCCUUAAACCCGUAUUUAUAGUACUUUAAUACCUUUAAAUUUUAUCACAAUGGGCUCCAUUGUUGAUAAUUGUGCCGGAAGAAGAGAACGCUCUCAUAUAAAACCCCUCCUAUUUCCAAAGGAAGAAGAAGAAUGAGGGAAAAAGAACGAAUCCUUAAGGAGCAGUGCUGAAACCGUAGGGGAACCAAAUAACCUGAGGGAACCUGCAUACCCGGCCCAAGAUCCGACUCCGACCCGAACUGCAGGGGGACCAAAUAACCUGAGUAAGCCUGAAUACCCGAUCCAAAAUCCGAAUCCGACCCGAAUUGUACGAACUGUAAAUUUUCCAAACUGUAACUGCACGAACCGUAAACCACUUGCCAACAGCAGAAAAGCCCUAACCGUACGGUAACAAAAGCUACGCGUGCGGGCGCGUCGUUUCUCCAAAUCGAUUGCCAUGCCUCCGUCCAUCUUUGUGUUAGGUUUACACAGCCAACUAGCUUGCACCUAUUGAAAAAUGUUUUAUAUUAAGUCGGUAAUGGACUUGAAGAGUUUCUAAUAGGUUACAAAUGGUGCAACUGGACAAAAUUAACCUAACUCCAAAAUGUAUGGAGAAAUUAUUUCAAGUGAAAUGAAUCAAUUGAGUGAGAUAUAAUCAAAAAUACCGGAAUCUAGAGGACUGAGAAGUUGAAAUUCAGCUACUUCAAAUCGUCGACCAAGAGGAAACAUCGAUCAGCUCAAGUCUCUCCUUCAUCACUCCUUCCCUUCAAAAUAUCGCAACACCACCAGAUCUACUGGUUUUAUAUGUGAGAGAGAAGAAGCCACUACAUCUUUGAGGUGGACUCCACUCCGCCGCUACCAAAAACCUCACCCACCGCAGCCUAGAUAUACAACCAAACAGAUCAGAAAUUGGGAAACAGAGUAUGUAUAACUCUAGAGAGCAGGCGGAGAGUUCUUUUUGAGAUUUGAAGGGAAAGAGAAUUUUCAGAUUUUGAAAGGACACAGAUAAAGAUAAAGAUAAAGUGAGAGAAAAGAAGGGAUGGAUUUUAACUUAC
rnacentral:lncRNA from 1 species